ACUGUUGUGUAAGAGGAGAGGGACAGAGUCAGGGCAGCUUUGCUAGCUGAGAGUGAGCCUUUCCUGAAAGCUGGAGCUGGGGAUCAGAAGUCACCGAGGACAAAACCAUCCUCUGUGCCAACCCACAGUGCGCAAGCCCCAGUGCAGGAAUCUGCUGACAGUGGCUUCUGCUUGGGAACAAAGCUGCACUAUCACAGCUUGAUUCCCCCAGGACAGCGAGUCUGAGAGCCCCAAGGAUGCUGGGAUUACAGGAACCUUUGCCAGAUUGGAUGCUGGAUGCUUUCUAAUAGCAACAGAGUCCAGGGAAGAGACUUGAAGCUGCUUAGCUGGUUUCUGGCUCCCAGGGCUUCAGCAGGCCAUGGCACUCCUGGAUAAGAUGCCAACUUUCUGCACCCCUCUUCAUCCCCCAGACACAGAUGUCUCUUGUGAGUUCUUAUUUCCUCAUUUCCAAUCUCUGAUCAUUCCCUUACUCUAGUCACUUAAUUUAGCAGAGAACCCCAACCUAACCCAAAGGUUAAAGAAACUCUUUAGGGGUGACAGCAGAAGCCUGGCACUGGGUUGCUGAGACCAGCGCUCUCAAGCCUCUUUGCUGAGGACUGAAUACCACUGGUCCUCACCAGGGUGAUACUAUUUAGCCCUUUCUUAUCAUAGAUGAUGACUGUCAGAUUGGGGGUUCCCCAGUCAGGCCUGCUGGAAAGAGAGAAGGGAAAGAUAAAAUUCAAAGUCACUUCAUUACAUUCCUAGGGGCCACUUUGCCAAACAGUAUGGUUGGGUAGGAAAUGAACAAAUCAAUUAAACACUUCCGUUUAAUUCAUAUACUCCUCCGGGUUCCGUCUUCUGUAGGAAGAUGGUGAAAUCGGGUAACAAACAGGGAUCCCAGAACCAGCUCCGCCCAAGGUCCUUGUGAUCUUGAAAUUUAAUCAUUUCAAUUCUUUGCCUCAGUUUCCUUUCUUAGGGGAGUCAUGUAUUGCCCCCCCAUGCAGCUUUCACACCCCAUCUGUCUGCAUCCUUCAGAACUGUGCAGCUCAGGAAGGGAAAGCGAGAGGGCUCAGUCUGGGUUUAGUUAGAAACAAAGUUCGUUCUUAAAAACAUUCCUGUUACAUCCACCCCAGUCUUCCAAGAUGCAUCCUCACAUUUCUGUACAUGAGAUCACAUCCUAGGGGAGUUAUUUAAGGAAAGCAAGGGAAGUCUGCUGUGCCUCCUCUAGGCAAACAGCCUUCUGGUACAACCAAGAGCUACCCAGAGUCUAUUUUUUUUAUAAUAGGCCAUUGAAAUACUUGCAGUCAGCAGGGACACUGUCUUCCUUUGAGGAUGCAGGUGGCCUGCCUGCCACCAAGCCCGCCUCUCAUCCAGGGUCACCAAGGUCCC